UUGCUCUCGGGUGACGAAGUGGCGGACGGGUGAGUAAUGUCUGGGAAACUGCCUGAUGGAGGGGGAUAACUACUGGAAACGGUAGCUAAUACCGCAUAACGUCGCAAGACCAAAGAGGGGGACCUUCGGGCCUCUUGCCAUCAGAUGUGCCCAGAUGGGAUUAGCUAGUAGGUGGGGUAACGGCUCACCUAGGCGACGAUCCCUAGCUGGUCUGAGAGGAUGACCAGCCACACUGGAACUGAGACACGGUCCAGACUCCUACGGGAGGCAGCAGUGGGGAAUAUUGCACAAUGGGCGCAAGCCUGAUGCAGCCAUGCCGCGUGUAUGAAGAAGGCCUUCGGGUUGUAAAGUACUUUCAGCGGGGAGGAAGGUGUUGUGGUUAAUAACCACAGCAAUUGACGUUACCCGCAGAAGAAGCACCGGCUAACUCCGUGCCAGCAGCCGCGGUAAUACGGAGGGUGCAAGCGUUAAUCGGAAUUACUGGGCGUAAAGCGCACGCAGGCGGUCUGUCAAGUCGGAUGUGAAAUCCCCGGGCUCAACCUGGGAACUGCAUUCGAAACUGGCAGGCUGGAGUCUUGUAGAGGGGGGUAGAAUUCCAGGUGUAGCGGUGAAAUGCGUAGAGAUCUGGAGGAAUACCGGUGGCGAAGGCGGCCCCCUGGACAAAGACUGACGCUCAGGUGCGAAAGCGUGGGGAGCAAAC
rnacentral:rRNA from 1 species